rnacentral:rRNA from 1 species
CUGAGAGUUUGAUUCUGGCUCAGAACGAACGCUGGCGGAAGGCUUAACACAUGCAAGUCGAGCGCCCCGCAAGGGGAGCGGCAGACGGGUGAGUAACGCGUGGGAAUCUACCCAUCUCUACGGAAUAACUCAGGGAAACUUGUGCUAAUACCGUAUACGCCCUUCGGGGUAAAGAUUUAU